CUACUAUAUUAUACGUACGUGUCCUUAACUUCCUGUUCAUUCAGGGUCGUCAAUUUUAUACAGCUGAGAACCCAUGUCCUAAUUUUGUUAAUAGCUCAUUGCCCCUUCCACCUCCAUUUUUGCACACGCCACCAUGCUCUCCAUUUCCCCUAUACAGCCCACCUCCUCUCAAUCCACAGCCCAUUCCCCCCUCCUACGCCAGCUUCCCCUCUCCCGUUCCCACCAUUUGCAUCACCGUCGCAGCAGAUUUUGUUUCCAUUUACUCCAGCUCACCCGCUGCCGCCACCCCUCGGCCCUUCUCAUCCGUGCCCUCGACGCAGCUCAACCUUACGAUUACGAAACCCGACUCUCCCGCCGCUUCUCUCAGUCCACAGCGCUCAAGAUUGCCAUCAUCGGGUUCGGUAAUUUCGGCCAGUUCCUUGCCAAAGCUUUCAUCCGGCAAGGCCACACCGUACUGGCCAAUUCCCGUUCCGACCACUCCUCCGUCGCCCAGUCUCUCGGGGCAUCAUUUUACGCCGACCCGCAUGACCUCUGCGAACAACACCCUGACGUGAUCUUGCUCUCCACUGCCGUCAUCCACACCGAACAAGUUCUCAAAGCCCUCCCAAUUCAAAGACUCAGACGCAAUACCCUGUUCGUCGACGUUUUAUCGGUCAAAGAGUUCCCCAAAAAUAUCUUCCUCCAGUACCUCCCUAGUCAUUUCGAUAUCCUCUGUACUCAUCCCAUGUUUGGGCCAGAGAGCGGAAAGGAUGGUUGGACGGGCCUCACAUUUGUGUUUGAUAAAGUUAGGAUAGGGCCCCAGAAGUCUAGGGAGGCAAGGGUUGAGAAUUUCUUGCAGAUUUUUGAGAAGGAAGGGUGUAGGAUGGUGGAAAUGAGCUGCGCCGAGCACGAUAAAUAUGCGGCUGGAUCGCAGUUCAUUACACAUACAGUGGGAAGAGUUUUGGAGAAGUUGAGUUUGGAGACUACCCCUAUUAAUACUAAAGGGUAUGAGAGAUUGUUGGAUUUGGUGGAGAAUACGGCUAAGGAUAGCUUUGAUUUGUACUAUGGGUUGUUUAUGUACAAUAAGAAUUCCAUGGAGCAGCUGGAGAGGUUAGAUUGGGCAUUUGAGAGUCUGAAGAAGGAGUUGUUUGGGCAUUUGCAUGAGGUUUUGAGGAAACAGUUGUUUGGGAAGGUGGAAGAAGGCGUGCAGGGGCCUGUGUUGUCGAAGCUGCCUAACAAUGUGGCUGCGUUUCCACCUCCUAAAACGAAUAGUGUUGAAAUUAAUAACAACUAGGAGGAAUUCUUUGCGGGUAGAAUUUGCCAUUUUUGGAAGUUGAACUUUUCAUUAUAUCGAUUAUUCUUGAUUAUUUAGGGUGUCUGUUGCAGUUGAAGUUAUGAUCUUUCUAUAUGAUAAACUGCUAGUUUUGCCACUUGUAUUCUGUUCGUGACUUCUCGCUUUAGCGAACGAUAUUUCAUCAUAAAGUAUCUAAAUAUGUGUAUGUCGUAAGAAUUUCAAGUAAUUAUGUUGCAAUUUUAUGUUCCCUUAACUGUCUGAUGAUCAAGGGGUUGAUGUUGCUACUUCGCGAUGUAUUUGCCACUUGUAUUCUGUUCGUGUAUUCUUGCUUUAGCAAACUACAUUUAUCUGAAUAUAUUAAUGUGUGUUUGAUUGGGUUUCUGGGAAUCUUGAAGAUGGCAAUUGCAAAGACUCGAAUUCUACAUUCACCCUUGCAAAGUAAUCUUGCAGACUUAUUAUGCCACUGUUUUUGAAGGAGGAAAUUGCACUUGCUAUGUGCAAAUGUAUGUAUGCACAAGUUUCACGUGCAUCUGCCUCCUCAAUGCCCAUCCUGCCUUGUGUGUUUUCAAUGCAAUGGAUGCAGUGGUCAUCAUUACUUUCCAGUGGUGUGUGAUGCCCUUGUAUGUUACCUUCAACAAAUCUUCCCACAUAGUAGGCAUACAGAUUUUGCCCCAUUUGUUGCACCUUCCACGUUCUGGGGACUACAUUCAUGUUGGAGUUGUAGCGAUGUUAGCUCCAUUUGAUUUUGUAUCUUAUUCGCCAAUGGGAGUGGUUGUAGACUGUAUGGAAAUGAGAGUUGCUCAUCAUAGAGAGUAUUUGAAUAGAGUGCUUAUUACUAGGUCCUGUAUCAUCGGAUUUUUAGAAUUAUGCUUUCUUCAACUGAAUAUGUAAUUUUUCCAGGGCUUGUGGUUGGUGACUUGGUGUUCAAGUAUAUGAGCUGUAUUGGUGCUCUUUUCA